GUGGCGGUAGCCUAGCACAUGCAGUCGAGGGGUAACAGGAGAUAGCUUGCUAUUGGCUGACGAGACGGGUGAGUAACGCGUAGGAAUCUGCCUCAAGCAGGUGAUAGCCCGGGGAAACUCGGAUUACUACCGUAUAUGUUCUAAGGAAUAAAGAUGCCUUUUGGUGUCGCUUUGAGAUGAGCCUGCGUCCGAUUAGCUUGUUGGUAAGGUAAAAGCUUACCAAUGCGACGAUCGGUAGCUGGUCUGAGAGGACGUACAGCCACACUGGGACUGAGACACGGUCCAGACUCCUACGGGAGGCAGCAGUGGGGAAUAUUGCGCACUGGGGGCAAGCCUGAACCAGCCAAUACCGAGUGGGAUGAAGACAAGGCAUUAGGGUCGUAGAAAUCCAUUCCAGCGAUGAAAAACAAUCUUGGGCCUUCAUAAGUGUCGGGGACUUGAUGU
rnacentral:rRNA from 1 species